rnacentral:rRNA from 1 species
AGCAGCCGCCGCGGGAAUACGGAGGGUGCAAGCGUUAAUCGGAAUUACUGGGCGUAAAGCGCACGCAGGCGGUCUGACAAGUCAGAUGUGAAAUCCCCGGGCUUAACCUGGGAACUGCAUUUGAAACUGUCAGGCUGGAGUCUUGUAGAGGGGGGUAGAAUUCCAGGUGUAGCGGUGAAAUGCGUAGAGAUCUGGAGGAAUACCGGUGGCGAAGGCGGCCCCCUGGACAAAGACUGACGCUCAGGUGCGAAAGCGUGGGGAGCAAACAGGAUUAGAUACCCCUGUAGUCCCUGUCUCUUAUAC